rnacentral:rRNA from 1 species
UACGUAGGUGACAAGCGUUGUCCGGAUUUACUGGGCGUAAAGAGCGCGCAGGCGGUCGUUCAAGUUGAGUGUGAAAGCCCCCGGCUCAACUGGGGAGGGUCAUUCGAUACUGAUCGACUCGAAGGCAGGAGAGGGAAGUGGAAUUCCCGGUGUAGUGGUGAAAUGCGUAGAUAUCGGGAGGAACACCAGUGGCGAAGGCGACUACCUGGCCUGUUCUUGACGCUGAGGCGCGAAAGCUAGGGGAGCAAACGGG